rnacentral:lncRNA from 1 species
GUAACUAAGUAAUUAGAUUUAAACGUGAUCAGUUUUCCUAUGUCGACUAUCUCGAAUAGAAAAAAAACUAAAAACACAUCUAAAUCACAUAAGUAAGUUCAUCAUGUUAAGAAAAAUCAAUAAAAACAAAUAAAUGAUAAAGAUAUAAAUAGACAUAGGCGACUCCAAGUGAGUUUCACUCGUUUUGGUUGCUAUUCCGGAUAGUCAAAGAUAUAGACUCCAUAUGCGCGUAUUAUGGUAGCGAGUCCAUGAGACUGUAUUUUGGCCAGAGUCCUCAAUUCGGACUCCAUUUUUGCUCCAAAGUUCAUGCAAGUAAAGAGAUGGUAAAGAGAUUAGUAAGACAAUUCAACUUUAAUCGAUAUUGAAUAAGUCAAGAAUAGAGCCAAAUAAAGUCACGCCACAAAAUACAUUCCGAGAUACAAAUUAAACUGCAAGGAUCAGACAAGAUACAUGACGAUUUUUGAACCAAACUCGAAGCAGCCAAGUAUGAAGCAACCAUACGUGCCUUAUAGACACAACAUUAAAUUCCAACUUCAACAGAUUUGAACUAUAAAGAAAACUUACUUCUCACACCAUGAUCCUUUAACAUUAACUUUUUUUUACAUAGCCAAAUAUUAAAUAUUCAGGAUGAAAAGGAACAAACUCAUACAUACAUUUCUACUAACAGAGAAUAGAACGGAGGCUGCUAACAGAGGAACAAAAGAGACUUAAACUCAAAUUUAUAUGCAUCGAGAUAAAGCGCGAUCAUGGCGAGCAUAUAAUUUGUAGCAUAUUUUAUAACUAAGCAUGACAAAAAAGAUCUCCAUUAAAACGUAUUCCUACUUUAAGAAGUAUACAUGAGCUGCAAAUGUUUAACAUACAAGGACAAUGAAUAAGCUAUCAACUGGGAGGAAAAAAAAAGUCAACAAAAGAUCUCAUAUAAACCUUUUUUUAAAACUAAAGGUGUGUUUGGUAUGAAGGAAAAUGUUUUCCUAGAAACUGUUUCCUGGAAAACAAGUGGUUGUGACUUAUUUUCUCGUGUUUGGUUGGUAAGUAGAAAAUAUUUUCCCAAAAAGAUUUUUUAAUGUUUGAUUUAUGAAUGAAAAAUGUUUAUGAGAAAAUAUCUUUUAUUUUUACUAGAGUAGAAAAUAAUUUUUGAAAUUGAAAAUAUUUUUUAAAAACAAACUUAAAUUUUUAAGNNNNNNNNNNNNNNNNNNNNNNNNNNNNNNNNNNNNNNNNNNNNNNNNNNNNNNNNNNNNNNNNNNNNNNNNNNNNNNNNNNNNNNNNNNNNNNNNNNNNNNNNNNNNNNNNNNNNNNNNNNNNNNNNNNNNNNNNNNNNNNNNNNNNNNNNNNNNNNNNNNNNNNNNNNNNNNNNNNNNNNNNNNNNNNNNNNNNNNNNNNNNNNNNNNNNNNNNNGUAAUUUGAAGUUGGAAGAGAAUUUUGGAAAAUGUUUCCCUUAAAUUUUGAAGGAAAGUCAUUUUCCUUACAUUUGAGGAAAAUGAGUUGAUUUGGAAAACAUUUUUCAAAACAUUUAACCUAACCAAACAUGAGAAAUUUGGAAAACAUUUUCCGGAAAAUAUUUUACUUCAUCCCAAACACAUACUAAGUAAUUCCUUAAUUUCAAGAUGGCUAAAACACGAAAGAAAUAUGACUUCAUAUUCCUAGAAAGAUUAAACCGAACAAAAAUACAUCACUUCAUUAUAGCUAGAACAAGCAAAAUCUUUCUCGACACCAAAUCAGAGGAAAAGGGGCGAAAAUCACCUGCUAUAGGGCAGUGAACGAGGCUGCUUUGAUCAAAGUCUAUAUUUGAACAAUAACAAACUCGAACAAGCUUGAAGCUAGAGUUUCUGUCAAGAUUGAAAGAGGAUACAAAAGAUAAUUUUUUAGGGCAGAAAGCAAUGGUUCAAGGUGCUAUAGGGGGGGGGGGGGGAGAAAAGUUUCUUUUCUUAAAAAUAAACACAAAAGCUGCUAUAGAGAUCCCAAAAAAAACUUCCGAAACUCGAAUGCAAAAUGUUGGUAUUUAUAGGAAUGAAUUAGGGUUCUAGGCUCAAGUUUUAGCGGGAUUUCAAGAAUCAAAUUAGUCAUAAUUCAAAAUCCAUCUCUGAACUUACUCUGUCCAAAUCGCAAAGUCUCUUGGCAUCUUAUGUUGGUCAAAUCACCACGGAGAGGGAGAAUGGAGAAGAGCUAAAGAAGUGUUCAAGGUUUGCAUGAAAAUAGGACUAGUGAAUCUGUCAAUGGCUAAAAAGAAAAAAGACCAGAAAAAACGAAGGGGAUGAGGCAACAAAUAUUUUGAUUUAGAAGAUAGGUUUAGGGUUUCUAUCUUAACUGCAGAUUUGGAUUUGGGCUGCACAUAGGGCUUUUGGGCCCAAUUUGGGGCUAUUUGCCUUUCUUCUUUUAAAUUAUGUUGGGCUUCUUACUUAAUACUCCCUUUGUUCCAAUUUAUGUGGCACUUUUCAUUUUUUGAAAUGAAAUUUAUAUAUUUGUAAACUACGUAAAAAGUACUAUAAGUCACAAUAAUUGAUAAUUCAAAAUAAUUAAAAAGAUUUAUGAAAAAAUUACGGUCAAAGAUAGACUUGUUUGAAUCUUGAAAUCCGAAAAGUGACACAUAAAAUGGGACGGAGGAGUAACUGAUACAAUAUAUGUUAAAAAAUGACAACUAAUAAUUUACAUAAUAAAAAUAUCAAUAUUACAAAUUUACAUUAAUAUAAAAUAGACAAAUAUAAAAGAAGGAUUUAUAAUUAGUUUAAUAAGUACGAAACUUGAAAUAAAGCGACAACAAAUUAUUUUCUUAAGAAAAGAAGGUUUAAAAAGUGAUAAUAGUAAUUUCGAUAAUAAAACAUAUAAUUUUAGUAGAUAAAUAGUUGUAGUAGUAAAAUAGUUGUGAAAAAGGAAUAUUUGACACGUUAUUAAUUUAGAAGCUCAAAAACAAUAAAUUAAAAGAAAGAAGGGUCAAAAUUCGGUGUCAACAACUUGUCCCUCUUUAACCAGAGACGAUGUAAGAGUUUUUGGGCAAAGAAGUUGACAUUGUAGCCAAUUUUGUCCUGACCAAUAAAUACGACCUAGGGAGAGUAUGAGAAAAUAUGAGUGUUGGAUAACUGAUGAGGUAUAGAAUUUUGUAAACAAGGUAGUCGCGAGCUUACAAAUAUUGAUCCAAUAUUGAAUUAUGAUGUUAUUGGAUAUUGUGAUCGAGCAGAGUAUUCGAGAUUGGAGUCGAGCAGUGUUCAAGGUAGACCUUUGACCUUUGUUGGAAAGCUAAACCUUCACAACAAAUUACCCAGUUCACUGCGUAGAUAAAGUUCCACGUUGCAUUGUGUCUCUUGUUGCUGCAUGUAAACUGUGCUUUCUGCCAAAUCUUGAUAAAAGUGUUAGGAAAUAAUAUAAAGCUAAAAUUAUAAAAAAAUAUCUUAUGAUAAAUAUCAUACAAGAGCUUAUGUAUACUACAACGCCGAGCAAUGGAUAUUUCGUCGGUAUAUUGUAAUUAAUUAUAUCGCCAUCCUUUUGUUGCUAAUUUUGUAGGUAAAUUUAUGGCGCGUAAAAUUGGCGCCAAUUUUUUGCAACGGAGUUGAUAUUUCGUCGCUAGGCCAUCACUAUUUUUAUAGCGACGUAAUUAUAAAUCCAUAGCUAAUCCAUCGUUAUAUAGCAACGAAAAUAUGUUUGUUGCUAAAAUCCGUCACUAAACGCUGAUUUUUUUGUAGUGAUAUUUUUACAUAAAAAUGUGGAUAAAUUCUGCAGGCUCUUCUAAUACCCAUAUAUUUGUCAUUAGACGUGUAACAGAUUAACUAAAUAGCUCCAAGGUUACUCAUUAAAGUAGUGACUAACUUUGACAAGUUCUAAAUAUCCCAUAUUUUGCACAUUUUAUCCUAGUUCAAAUUGCAAACGAGGCCAUCAGGAUGCCACGUUGAUGCAAAUGAGUAGUCCACAAGUCCACACAAAGGAUAAAAAAACAUUUCCAUUCCUACAGUCAACCAAAAAACCUAUCGCGAUCAACAAGCAAAAAACAAGCACCAUAAAUCUUCUCCCCAAGAUCAUUUAGUUGGAGUGUAAUACGUCGUAUCAACAAAUAGAUGAAGUUUAUUACAUAGAAGAUGAAUAUGAAAUGGAAGAACUAGCUUAUUUUGUUGAUAAGUUCCAAGGCGUAGACUUGGGUGGCUUUGAUUCGGUUGAAGAUGAGUUGCAAGGCAUAGACUUGGAUGACUUUGAUUUGGAUGUAGAUGAGCUCUUAGACAUAGGCUUAGGUGGAUUUGAUUCAGAUGUAGAUGAGUACGAUUACAUGAAUAAAAGAAUGUAAGAUAUUUUGGCUAUAGAGGUAAGGAAGCGCAAAGAUAUUAAAGGGAUCCCCUAGAAAGGGUUCUCAUAACCAGGGAGACAACUAAGCAAAGAAGACUACAACUCUAUCAGAACUAUGAAAAUAUUCCUCACUCUGGUUAGACAUCAGAAAAGGAGUGCAAAACCACGAAGAAAGAUAAUUUAAAUUAUGAUUUCAGAUGGAAUGGAAGAUUUAUAACAUCAAAGUCCUCUCAUCCCCCGCUGAGGAAUUUGGUUUGGACACCUUUUAACCAUAAUGCGUGCAUGAUGUCUAAUUUUUUCAGUCAUCUGUUGCACUAACGUCCUCUCAACCUCCAGUUGUGGAAGUUGGUUUGGGCACCUUCGAAGCAUGAUGUGUACCUGAUGUCUCAUUUCUUUGAAAUUCAUUGUUCAAUUGAUUUGGUGAAAACUGAAAUUCUCAAUUUAUCAAGGCAUGUAGCGCCACUCUUGAAAAAUCUUUAAAUCCUUUUAGAGGGAUUUAGGGAUAUCCUAGAAAGCACUCUUGCCGUGAAAGAUAAGUUGCUUUUUACUAGCGGAUUGCAAGGAGAACUUACUGUCAAGUAUUUAGAUAAGCUUGGAGUUUUCUUUUUUUCUCGUCGACCUAAGUCGAGGAUGUCAUUACCACUGCUAUUGAGAUUAAAAAAACUGUCGGAGGUGCACUUCAUUUUAUAGCUUCAAAUAAUGAUUCUAGAGUUAGAGAUUUUGAUUUCGAGAAAUUUUAAAUAUCUAACCAUUUCCAUUUUCCCGAGCCAGUGAAUCAUAGAUCACUCAGUCCUGAUGACAAUCUCUAACUCCAGGAUGGCAUCACUGGCCAGGGAAAUUGGAAAUGAUUAGAUAGUUGAGAUUUCUCCAAAUCGAAAACUCUAACUCUAGAAUUAUUAUUUGAUGUUAUAAAAUAGAGUGCACCACUGAUAGUGUUGUUAAUGCUAAUAGCAAUGGCAAUGGCAUAAUUGUUAUACGUUGGUCAAGAACAGAAGCAAACUCCAAGAUUAUCUAAAUACUUGACGAUUAGUUCUCCUUUCAAUCUACCAGCAACAAGCAACUUAUCUUUCACAACAAGAAUAAUUACUCGGGUCUCCGUAAAUCACUCUUAAAGGCUUUCAAGGUGUUUAUCGAGUGGCGCUACAUGCCUUGAUAAAUGGAAAAUUAUUGUUUUUGUGCAGGUCCAUGAUGACUAGUGAAUGAUAUAAAAAUGAGACAUCAGAAGAUACCUCGACAAAAUUCCUCAGUUGGGGGUGAGGAAAUGUUGAUAUAUAGGAUCUUGUAUUCCAUAUGAAAUCAUAGUACAAAUAAUCACCCUAUCCUAGAAAAUCGCCGGAAAUUGAUGCACAUUGCUCUGUCUAGCUGUGUUUUCUUCCCCUGAAUAUGGGGUUCAUGCAUAUAUCGUUGGCUCUACUUUUAUUAAUAUAACCAUUGGCCAACUUGGUGGCAUAUGUUGGUCAUAGUCGCCUGCCAGCAACGAUAGCUAUUUGAUUCUCUACCCGGAUCGUAGAAGCUCCAUUACAAUUUGAGAAUUAUUAUUGAAUUGAGUAUCUACAUUAUUACAUUGAGAUCAUAUCUAUAGAUACUACAUUAGACUCCAUUCUCGACCACGAAACUACAGUACUAUUCUUUUCCAAGUAGGAUUAUAUAUUUUUAUUUUUAUUUUAUGACUGUUAUGAUCGGAUCAUCUUUCAUGCACCCCGACUAAAUUUACAAGAAACCUACCACCUCCCUAGCAACAAAUAUCAGGUAACUCUGUUCACCAAGGCUAGUACAGAUGGAAUGAAUCAGCUAGUGUUUUUGUCUCCGCUGAGUUUUGACCUUAAGACGUAGGAAUCUCAACCACUUCAUUGACCACUCAGCCACACCCUAGGGUACCAAAUUGGAUUUAUAUACUAAUCUUUUUCCAAGUAGGUGACCUGUGUUAUAAAGGAGGCCACACUCAGUUUUAUCAUUCAAAUGAUGGAGAUAGUCUACAUUACAAAUAGCACGAUAAAAAAAAUAUGAACCUAAAUAUCAUCCACUUCUACCCUCAAAGUGCUUAUAUUAUUUCAUCAACAUAUGAAUAGUUGUGUCAUCACCCAAACUCAAGGAGGCUACUAAAUAUGUGAUUCCACACGCCAAUGAUAAGGGACUCUCUAUCAGGACUAAAAGACACUCGUGAUAUCUCACCAGAGAAAUCAUUUUCUUAUUCCACCUCAUAUCCACAUUUUACAAAAAAAAAUGUAAAAAAAUUCUACAAGCUCAACCAUACCCAUAAAUAUUUCAUCACAUGCCUAGCAGAUUGACCGAAAGCUCCAAAGUUACCCUUCAAAGUAGAGACUAACUUAGACAAGUUUUGAAUAUCCCAUAAUUUGCAUGUUUUAUUAUGGUCCUCAUUUGCAGACGUUAGGCCAUCAGGAUGUCACGAUAAUGCAAAUGAGUAGUCCAUAUGUCUACAUAAAGGAGAAACAACCUUUCUAUUCCUGGAGUUAAUGAAAAAACCUAUCGCGAUCAGUGGCGGAUCCAGGAAUUAAGCUCAGGGGUUCAAAAUUUAAAGAAGAAACUCAUGUGGUAAUGUAAGUGCGUGGUGAGCGUAGUAACCCCGACAUGCUUUUUGUACAAGGUAUCUCAUUGGUUGAUAAAAGUUAACACUUCUUAAAAUUUCUUGUACUUUUUAUACUUUUAUUUUGUAAUGUUUUACUUUAUUUUGCAUUUUAAUUUUUUUAAAAUUAGUAUCCAUUCAAACACAUAUUACUAGGAAAAUUAUUAAGAUUCUCUAAAAGUGUGUACGUAAGUAUAGAUUUACUAAUAUUAUAAUGCACAUUCAGAAGAUAAAUAAAUGGCAUCGUCAAUUUUUUAGUUCAUGUAGUUUAAUUUACUAGGUUAGUCAUCACUUGUUGAAAAAAAAAAUGACGAAUAAAUCAAAUAAGUUUUGUUUUCAUCUCUCUAAAAUAGAAUUGGAAAAAUAGAAAAGAAAUUCCAUGAAUUCUAUUAAAUAUAUAUUAUUAAAAGGAUAUUGACGAUUUUUAGUUUCUUCAUUCAAUUACAUCUAAUUUAUCUUUAUAUAUAUAAUUCAUCAUUUUUAAAGAGUUGUACAUAAAAUUAUGUUGAAAUAAAAUGACAAAUAGAUAUAAGAAGAAAAAAAAAAUGUGUCUAAUAAAUUUAAACAAAAACAAAUUAGAAAAAAAAUGACAUAAAAGAAAUAAUGAAAAAGAGAAGAUGAUCCAAACCCAAAAGUUGUGCCCAAUUCCAUGCAUUAAAAAGGGUAAAUAAAUAAGAGAAGAGGAAUUGAUGCGCAUGGGAUUCGAACUCACGACGUAAAGCCACUGCUGAACCCCUUAUCCAUUGAGCUAAAGCUUCUCACUUAUUUUCAGGGGGUUCAUUUUAAUAUAUAUACACAUAAAAUCAGAAUUUGGCCCUAUAUAUAUAACGUAAUUUUUCAACCAAGGGGGUUCACCCGAACCCCCCUAGACACUAAAUUUCCAUCUCAAGAUCAUUUAGUUUGAGUGUAACAUGUCCCAUCAACAAGGAGAUGAAGCCGAUUAUGUAGCAAAUUAAUAUGAAAUGAAAGAACUAGAUGAAUUAAUUGAUUAGUUACAACGCGUAGACUUGGGUGGCUUUGAUUCGGAUGUAGAUGAGUUGCAAGCCAUAGAUUUGGAUGACUUUGAUUUGGAUAUAGAUGAGUUUCUAUGCAUAGACUUAGGUGACUUUGAUUCAGAUGUACAUAAGUAUGACUACAUGAAUAAAAGAAUGCAAGAUAUUUCAAUUGUUGAGGUAAGGAAUGACAAAGGUAUUCAAGGGAUCCCUAAGGAAAGGGUUACCAUAACUAGGGAGACAACUAGGCAAAGAAGACUACAACGCUAUAAAAACUAUGAAAAUAUUCCUUAAUCUGGUGAGAUAUCAGAAAAGGAGUGCAAAACCAUAAAGAAAGACGAUUUAUACUAUGAUUUUAGAUCGAAUGCAAGAUCUAUUACAUCAAUGUUUUCUUACCCUAGCUGAGAAAUUUGGUUUGGGCACCAUCUAAGCAUGAUGUAUACCUGAUGUCUCAUUUUUCUAUCAUUGAUUGGUCAUCAUUGAUAUGUGCUAAAACUGAAAUUCUCAAUUUAUCAUGGGAUGUAGCGCCACUAGAGAAUCAUCCUGAAAGCUUUUUAGAGGAAUUGAAGGAGACAUGAGUAAGAACUCUUGCUGUGAAAGAUAAGAUUUUUGUUACUAGUGGAUUGCAUGGAGAACUUAUCGUCAAGUAUUUAGAUAAGACUUGAGUUUUCUUUUAUUCACGCCAACCUAUGUCGAUGAUGCCAUUACCACUUCUAUUGAGAUUAACAACACUGUCAGUGGUGCACUUCAUUUAAUAGCUUCAAAUUAUUGAUGGCAAUCUUUAACUCCAGGAUGGCAUCACUGGCUAGGGGAAUUGGAAAUAAUUAGACUAUUGAAAUUUCUCCAAAUCAAAAUCUCUAACUCUAGAAUUAUUAUUUGAAGCUAUAAAAUGAAGUGCACCACUGACAGUAUUAGUAAUCUUAAUAGCAGUGACAAUGGCAUCAUCGUCAUAUGUCAACCGAGAACAAAAGCAGACUCUAGGAUUAUCUAUGUACUUGACGAUUAGUUCUCUUUGCAAUUCACUAGAAACUUACUUUUCACAGUUAGAGUGCUUACUAGGGUCUCCGUAAAUCCCUCUAAAAGUCCUUCAAGAUGUUUCUCGAGUGAUGCUACAUGACCUGAUAAAUUGAAAAUUUUAGUUUUUGCGCUGGUCAAUGAUGACCAAUGAAUGAUAGAAAAAUGUGACAUUAGGUAUACAUCAUGCUUAGAAGAUUCUCAUACCAAAAUUCCUCAGUUGGGGGAGAGAUGAUGUUGAUGUAAUGGAUCUUGCAUUCCAUCUAAAAUCAUAGUAUAAACUGUCUUUCUUUGUGGUUUUUCACUCCUUUUCUGAUGUCUCACCAGAUUGAGGAAUAUUUCCAUAGUUCUGAUAGCGUUGUAGUCUUAUUUUCCUACUCGUCUCCCUGGUUAUGGUAACCCUUUCCUAUGGGAUCCCUUGAAUAUAUUUUACCUUCCUUACCUCGACAGCUGAAAUAUCUUAUGUAAAGAUAUGACACAUGGGCCUAACUCAACCCCAAAAUGUAAGUCAUGAAGGGAGGUUUGUCCAAGUCCACAUAAGGAGACAAAUUUUCCAUCCCUCUACCGAUGUGAGACUUCAUAACAUCUUGGAUUCUUUUAUUCAUGUAUUCAUACUCAUCUACAUCCUAAUCAAAGCCACCUAAGUCUACAGAUGCUUUGGAAAUCAUCUACAUCCAAAUUAAAGUCAUUCAAAGUCUAUUCCUUGCAACUCAUCUACAUCCUAAUCAAACCCACCCAAGUCUAUGCCCUAGAACCCAUCAAUAAAAUCAUCUAGUUCUUCCAUUUCAUAUUCAUCAACUAAUUAUCUUGGGGUAAUACUUAAUCAACAUCAUCUACUUGUUGAUGGGACAUGUUACACUCCAACUAAUUAUCUUGGGGUAAAAAUUUAGGGUGCCUAUUUUUCUCUUGUUGAUCACUAUCGGUUUUUUGGUUGACUCCAAAAAUGGAGAAGUUGUUUACCCUUUGUGUGGAUAUGUGGACUAUUCAUUUGAAUCAUCAUGGCAUUCUGAUGGCCUAACGUUUGCAAGUGGGAAUAAAUAUAAAUGUGUAAAAUAUGGGAUAUUCGAAAACUUAUCCAAGUCAGUCACUACUUUGAAGGGUAACCUUGGAGGUAUUUGGUCAAUCUGCUACAUGUCUGAUUACAAAUUUAUGUGAAAGGUAGAGCUAGUUGAAUUUGCUAAUAUUUUUUAAUGUAAAAUGUGGAAAUCAUAGUAAAAACAAGCACCCUACCCUAGAAAGUCUUCAGAAAUUUACCCUACCAUUGCCUCACACCGCAAGGUGCAUCAAACGUGGACAAUGGCAUUUUCCUAGACCGAUUUGGUGGGUCCUUUUCUGUAUUUUAAAUAAUAUAAAUAAGAAUACUUGGUCUGUCUCGAUUCCCAUUGGUCGGUCUGCUAUACGGAACAAACCUUUUUCCAUGUAAUCUUGAAUCAGAUUCUUGAAAUUUACAUAAUUAUUUGUAGAGUGAGUCCAUUUCUCAUGCCAUUUUUUAGGAGGAGACGACUAUUGUAGAAGCACAGAGCAAAGCGCAAAAGGAAAAAAUUCUCUUAGGGUUAACUCUUCUUCUCUUUACUUAGCAUUAUUUCUUGUUUAUAACAUGAAUUAUAGCUUUUGUAAUAAGAUUGGAGUGGCUAAAAGCCCUCUUUCUAGGGUUAUGGUAACCCUUUCCUAUGGAAAUCAUCUACAUCCAAAUUAAAGUCAUUCAAAGUCUAUUCCUUGCAACUCAUCUACAUCCUAAUCAAACCCACCCAAGUCUACGCCCUAGAACCCAUCAAUAAAAUCAUCUAGUUCUUCCAUUUCAUAUUCAUCUAAUACAUAAUCAAUAUCAUCUACUUGUUGAUUGGACAUGUUACACUCCAACUAAUUAUCUUGGGGUAAAAUUUAGGGUGCCUAUUUUUCUCUUGUUGAUCACUAUCGGUUUUUUGGUUGACUCAAAAAAUGGAGAAGUUGUUUACCCUUUGUGUGGACAUGUGGACUACUCAUUUGAAUCAUCAUGGCAUUCUGAUGGCCUAACGUUUGCAAGUGGGAAUAAAUAUAAAUGUGUAAAAUAUGGGAUAUUCGAAAACUUAUCCAAGUCAGUCACUACUUUGAAGGGUAACCUUGGAGGUAUUUGAUCAAUCUGUUACAUGUCUGAUUACAGAUUUAUGUGCAAGGUAGAACUAGUAGAAUUUGCUAAUACUUUUUAAUGUAAAAUGUGGAAAUCAUAGUAAAAACAAGCACCCUACCCUAGAAAGUCUUCAGAAAUUAACCCUACCAUUGCCUCACACCGCAAGGUGCAUCAAACGUGGACAAUGGCAUUUUCCUAGUCCGAUUUGGUGGUCCCUUUUCUGUAUUUUAAACAAUAUAAAUAACCAUACUUGGUCUCUCUCGAUUCCCAUUGUUCGGUCUGCUAUCCGGAACAGACCUUUGUCCAUGUAAUCUUGAAUCAGAUUCCUGAAAUUUACAUAAUUAUUUGUAGAGUGAGUCCAUUUCUCAUGCCAUUUUUAAGAGGAGACGACUAUUGUAGAAGCACAGAGCAAGAGCAAAGGAAAAAUUCUCUUAGGGUUAACUCUUCUUCUCUUUACUUAGCAUUAUUCUUGUUUAUAACAUGAAUUAUAGCUUUUGUAAUAAGAUUGGAGUGGCUAAAAGCCCUCUUUCUAGGGUUAUGGCCAUAGUAUGAACUUCGUCUUGUAUUAUAUAGUUGUUAUUGCGAUUUUCUACCAUAUAUGUUUCUCUCUUAAUCUUAUACUUACUAUUACGUUGAUUUGUGAUCAAUAGGAUAAAUGGAUAAUCUUUAAUGGAACUUGAGAGAGGAAACUUGGAGAUAGAACUAGAUUAAGGGGAGUAGGAUGCGUUCUGCGAAACGGAUUUGCAACUAGGAUAGAUUGUGACGGUUAAAGGCUCGAGAUACCAUCACUAUAAUAUCAACUUUGUGAGUCAGUGAAACGGUAGAAAUUUUCAUAGCAAUUGUAUAUAAAUACGAAGAGAUUACACAAGCGUCAUAGCGCAAUUUAUUAUCUUCUCUAUGAACAACCUCUAUGAUAUCAAUUUUAUUUACCUGUCUUGUUUUAGUUAUAAUAAAUAGUGUAGUAUAGUAUUGAAAUUUUUGAGAUAUUUUUGUUAUUUUUGUUGUUACAGCUGUGAAUCUUAGCUGUUGUGGGUAGAUGACAACUUUUAUGCAACACUCUGACAGGAGGUAAACCCCUCCAAAAUUGAAGGAAAUCUAUAUUCUUUCCAACCAAAACCCAAAAGGUUCCUUUAUAAGAGGUUGAAGGAGCAAGCCUUGUUGCAAGUGCAUCGCAACCCACCACUUGCAGUAUUGACAGCUCAACCACAAGCCCCAAUCACAAUACGCGAAGUGGCAAUCCCACUAGUAGAAAAUGUAAACUAUAUUAUAAAAAAACCUAACAUUACUAGAAGAUGGGAGCUGGAGUAGAAUAUGGUGCAGUUAUUGCACACAAACGAGAAGUUCACAUGCUUACCAUAAGAGGACCCAUAGGCUCAUCUCUAGAAUUUCCUAUAGAUCACAAAUACUUACAUCACACAGGAUGUCUGAUCGAAAUGUGAGACUCACUCUGUUUCUGUCCUCUUUGUUAGGGGAAGCCAAAAGGUGGCUUACAGUUGACCCUACCAACUCUAUCACUUUAUGGGAUGAUUUGGCAAAAGUGUUUCUUGCAAGGUUCUUUCCAGCUGGGAAGGGAGCUAAAUUAAGGAGUGAGAUCUUGGAUUUUAGGUAGAUGAAAGGUGAAGGCUUUAGAUAUUCAUUCUAAGCCUUAAUCAGGUUGGCGGCCAGUAAUCCUUAGUGGACCAGUGAGUCCAAUAAAAGAUGCAGUGAAGAGAUUCUAGAGGUUGAUGGGAUGACUAGUAUACAAGCACAAAUUGCAGCGAUGAACAACUUUAGCCAAUUAACCAAUUUUUUUAUAGGUCAAGCGUAAGUGCAAGCUCAAGCUCAGUGAGUUCAACAAUCUUAGUUGUUCUGUGAAGCCUGUGGAGGUGAUAAUUCAACAGAUAUGUCUAGAGCUAACUCAGAAUCGAUACAUUUUAUGGGAAACACAAGUAGAGGCAUAGGAAACCAAAAUUUCGGGAACAACUACAGCCUAAUUGGAGGAACCACCCAAAUUUCUCAUGGUAAUAUCAUUGAGGGCCAACUAGAUGAGAUUAAAGAGAUAUUGAAGAUAUUAGUAGAUGAGCGGCAAAAUCAGUCAGCUACUGGUAAAAAACAUGACUUGGCAAUUUAUAGUCUUGAAAGAAAGAUGGGUCAAAUUGCCGGAGUGCAGAAUACUAGGGCCCAAGGAAGUCUACCUAGCGAUGUAGAUCCUAAUCCAAAACCAUUUAAUGUUGUGGUUACAAAAGGUGGUAAGGAUUUCCAUAGAGGAGGCAACAUUUGUACAACCAGGCCUUCAAACCCAAGGACUUUCACCCAGGCAGUACGAGGUCAUGGUGCACAAUUUUUGGGAAAUAGACUUCUGUUUUUCAACUCGUGACCAGAUUUUCUCUCUCUUGACAAGAGAACAAUAACUAGUGAUAGUGAACUACAAAUUUCUAAUGAAUUCUCACCUGGUCACGUAAUUUGCACUUUCACUAGUAGUAAAGUAGCGAUGAGAAGUGAAGAAAGUUCCUUCGCACAUUUAAGAUGAAAAAUAUAACAUUCAGCACAAAAGCACUAGAGUCAGAGCACUGAUUAAAAAGGAUGCACUAGUGUUAAAGCAUGGAUCACAAGCUCCAAAAAUGACGAUUAACCCCAAUAUAGCACGGAUCUGGUAGCAACAGAGAAUCUCAAAUUACCGUUUUCUUCAACCUAGGAACAAGUCCAGCAUGGAGUAACUAGUUUUAUAUGUAGUUCUAAUCUAUACGAUUGUUUUUCUUAGAGAAUGACAAAUUGUCUUGCAAUCAAAAUAAGCAACCACCGCAAGUUCAAAAACAAGGUGUUGGAUAUAGUACAGACUACAGACACAAAAGAACAGUCUGCCAACAAAACCAAGUGAUCACAAAGCUUGGGCCAAUGUUAAGUGAUACAUUUUCUCACAUUAGACUUAAUUUCAGUCUUGACAUCAACCUGAUCAAGAAUCUUAUGCAAGGGAAGUGAAUCCCCCUUAGCAUUCGCACGAUGUUGGGGGCUAUUCAAUGCAAAAAAAAGAAAUGUUAGCACACACUAGUAUCACAAUGCAAAUUGCCAUCAUAUUUAAUGAUGGUACAAACUGUCUUCACUGAAUUUUUUUUGCCUCAAAUCUUUAUGAUUCUUAACCUUUAAAAUGUUAAAGCAAAUAGCAAUUUUUCCUUCCUUCCAAAAGAAAUAGAUGAUCGAAAAAGUAAACAAGUUGCACUCCAAUUUAUCAAAUGUAACUCCACAAUGUUGUCUCAGUAAGAAAAAUAUUUUGAAACAUCUCAAACAUCACUUAUAGCUAUGGAUAUCAAAUAAACUCCAAAAUCAUACAGAAUUUGGAGCUAUAAGAUUACACAAAUGAGGAAGAAUAGAUAUUAAAAGAACAUAAUGGCACAAGACGACAAUAAUCUCAAGUUGGAGAGGCGAAAGAGGUACAAACCCCUCAAUGUGGUUACCCGGGCCUACCACCCCCCGAGCUAGGGACCAAGGUACAAACCCCUCGAUAUGGUUAUACGGGCCUACUACCCCCCGUACUAGGCAACCAAGGUACCAACCCCUCGAUACGGUUAUACGGGCCUACUACCCCCCGUAGUAGGCAACCAAGGUACCAACCCCUCGAUACGGUUAUACGGGCCUACUACCCCCCGUACUAGGCAACCAAGGUACCAACCCCUCGAUACGGUUAUACGGGCCUACUACCCCCCGUACUAGGCAACCAAGGUACCAACCCCUCGAUACGGUUAUACGGGCCUACUACCCCCCGUACUAGGCAACCAAGGUACCAACCCCUCGAUACGGUUAUACGGGCCUACUACCCCCCGUACUAGGCAACCAAGGUACCAACCCCUCGAUACGGUUAUACGGGCCUACUACCCCCCGUACUAGGCAACCAAGGUACCAACCCCUCGAUACGGUUAUACGGGCCUACUACCCCCCGUACUAGGCAACCAAGGUACCAACCCCUCGAUACGGUUAUACGGGCCUACUACCCCCCGUACUAGGCAACCAAGGUACCAACCCCUCGAUACGGUUAUACGGGCCUACUACCCCCCGUACUAGGCAACCAAGGUACCAACCCCUCGAUACGGUUAUACGGGCCUACUACCCCCCGUACUAGGCAACCAAGGUACCAACCCCUUGAUACGGUUACCCGGGCCUACAACCCCCCGAGCUAGGCUUGGUCGACUCACAACACUUAUAUAGAGAAAAUCAUAUACAUGUAUCCAUUUCAUCAUCAUUUCAAUACUUAUAUAAUCAUCCGACUCAUAGGACGUACAUUGGACCUUCCAUUUCAUAAGAAUUCUAUAAAUGGCAUUUUAUCAAACACAUGGUGGGCUAUUGUUCAUGUAGAUAAAAUCAUGUCUUUCAAGAGUACUAAGUCCAACCAAUUCCGAAAUACAUAUAAAUCAGCCCACCAACAACAUACAUAUAUAUAUACAUAUAUAACAACCUUCAUAAUUUGAUCAUUGAGGCAUGAAAACCAUAAACAUCAUAUAAUCAUUCCAUUUCAUGAUAAUAUACAAAAAUAGACCAUAAUAGGAUGUGUAGUAGUAAUUCCAUAGUUCAAGAGUUCAUAAAUGAUCAUAAGGACCCAUAAACUUGAAGUAGAAAUAGAGGAUAAAUGGUUGGACUUGUGGAAAGGAAGGUUUCCACAAUCAAACCCACAUACCUCAACUUUGGAGAAUUCUUGAUGAAGAUUGGAAUGGAGAAUUGAAGCUUGAGAUUGAGUCUUGAAUCCGGAAUUAGAACUUGAGAUGUUUGAAUUUGGUUGCAGAUCUUGGUGGAAUUUUGGAGAGGGCUUAGAGAGUGUUUUGAAGAAAAAAAAUAUGGCUAAGUAUGGGACAUUUAUAAAAAACGUCCCCAACCCGCUAAAAAAAAAAGCUCUCUGAAAAUUGCAACUCUGUACAGACAGGUUUUACGAAAAUGGUCAUAACUCCCUCAUCCUAACUCGGAAUGAGGUGAAACCAAGUGCGUUGGAAAGCUAACUCAAAGAGCUUUAAUUUAAUAGGUUGUGGCUCUUCCAGUUCCUUGUGUGCUAAGAGAUAUGCCCCUUCAAAGUUGACCCUCCAAAUCGCAUUUUUUCCGAUUUUCGAAUUUUGAUACGGUUGCUCUAAAAUUUGGGUUAGACCCAUUUCCCACUCAAUUUGACCCCAUGAAUAAGAAUAUGAAGUCGAAUUUCUGAAAUCAUGCACGGAUUUUGAGAUAUAUGGAAAUUACAAUUAUAGGUGUUUCCAAAGCACAUUUUCGGGCAUUUUUGGGGUCGUUUCACUUUAGGACAUUUUUUCCUUAAUAAUUAAUAUUGCAUAAAAUUGUAUAAAUGUGCAGCGUGAAUACAGAAAGGGACCUAUAGAUUCAAUCCAUUGAAUUCAUGUCUCCAAGAGUAACAGUAGCUUUAGCCUACGGAUACACAAAAAUGUUAGUCACAGAACACCACCUUCCUACCGACCCAAAAAUCAAAUUUUGAUCCGUCUACACUCUAUACACUGAACUCUUGAUAGCUCCGUAAAUUUCGGCAGCUUUCCAUACAGGGUGAUGGAUAGCCUCCAUUGUUUCAACCCAUUCGUUCCAUUUCAUUUGUUGAUCCAUACAUCUAUUACAACCAUGAAAGGAGACUUUCAAUGAAAUGGAAAGAAUGGGUUGAAACGAUGAAGGCUAUCCAUCACCCAAUAUGGAAAGUUGCAUGAAUUUAUGGAGCUGUCAAGAGUUCAAUGUAUAGAGUCCAGGCGGAUCAAAAUUUAAUUUUUGGGUAGGUAGAAAGGUGGUGUUCUGAGACUAACACUUUUGUGUUUCCGGGGGUGAAGCUACUGUUACUCUUGAAGACAUGAAUUCAAUAAUUUGAACCUAUUUUUAUCCAAGACAAUUGAAAAUAAUAAAAUUUCAAACGGACCAUGCACAAAGAUACAUUGGGCUCCCUCCACCUACAGGAACAUACCUUAGGAGGUUGGAAUUCACAAACAUCAAGAGCACCACAACAUCAAUUAAAAAUAAGGCUUGAAUAGUUAUUUAACCACAAAAUAUAGUAAUAUCAACUCCAAACCAAAUAAGCCCUCACAGAGAGCAAUCCCACAGAGCGCUUCCAAAUUAAACAACUCCAAAAGCUGGAAAACAAUUGAAAUCAGCAAACCCAACCAGAUAUAGAUAAACAAAAAAUCAAAGCAGACCUUGGUAACAAAUAUUGAAGCAAUAGAGACAAAUAGGGACUAGAGCAGCAGUGGAUCCAACACAACAACACGAAGAGUGAUCAGAGUAAACUGAUGUUGCAAUUAAAAAAUUGUAGAUCUUCACAGAUGCCGGAUAAGAUAGCGAAACAAUUGAUCCAGUCUACAAAAGAAAAAAAUUGUCUAAAAGAUCUUCGCCCUUUGCCGAAGGUGAGGGAAACUGGUAACUCAUGGAUGAGUGACCCAAAGCAGAGAAAAAAAGAAAAGAAACGAAACCUUAACUUGGCUUUGAUACCAUGUCACUCAUAAGGUAUGGAGAAUAAUUUGUAUAUUACUCAACAAGAACAAGGAUAUAAAUACAUGAAGAGAACAAACUAACUAUGAUGACUAAAUAUUCAAAUCCCUAAAAUUCAAUUGUAUUAUCUAUAUCAUUAAUAUUCAGAUUUUGUAAUACUAAUAAUACGGAGAAAUAAGUUAGGGUGGGAGUACCAGGUAGAAAUUAGUCGUGUUGAAAGAGGUGAAAAUGCAAUAAAAUCAGCAGAAACAAAUUAAGCAUAGAAUUUUGGUUGCUACAAGGAGAAAACCACUACAGAAACGCUAACAGAAAGUAGAGGGUGAAGAGGAUACAAAUGGAGCAAUGACAUGUAUUCAGAACACAUACUGAUCAAAUAUGACAUGAGAAAAAUAUUGCUAACUCUUAGCAAACAGGAUCUGGUAUCAUUGUCGAGAGUACCCAUUUUGCAUUAUAGAAACUACAGAAGGGGUCAAAGAUGUCAAUCGUUCAGUUACUAAUCCAGAUUGACUAAAUGCAAGAUUCUCAAAAUGUAGCCAUCAUCGAAGACAAUGAACAUGUAUAGAUACAAACCUGAUGAAAUGGAUAAAGAUGAUAUUGCAUUAGUGGAAGCUUUAAACUUGUGCAGCAAGUUCCCUGACAUGGAAUCAAUUUUGCAAACCAGUCCACCAGCACCAGCCGUUUAAAUGAAUUAACCAUGUGAAGUCCAAGAGAGGGCCCAACAUGAGCACAAAAGAGAGCUGAAAUUUCAGCCCAAAGUGUGUUGAAUUCUCUCCCAACAAUGGCUGAAAAUCACAACAAUAUAGAGCCCAAAUAUAAGAUGAAGUCAUGUGGGCUUUGGGUGCAAAUUUGUCAAUUUUUUCCUUAUUCCUGUUAGCUAAUUUUAGGAAGAAGUUUGAUAUUUUUUUUAUAUGUUUUCCCAAUUUAAAGUUUCAUAGUUUAAAAGUUUUCUAAUUAAAAGUAGGAUUUGAAUCUCAUGCUAUUUUGAAUAGGUUUCUCCUAUAUGUAGGGGUGGAUUUUGUUAUUUUCAAAAGACAUAAAUAAUAUUAUUUGAGAGGUUUCUCCCCUUUACACCUCUGUGUAUGGUGACUAUGAAUUUAUCUUACAACAUUAUAAGAAACGAUUCUUUAAAGGUAAGUUAAAUUCUUAACUUUAUAUAUUUGGUUUCUAUUAAAGUAAUUAAAGAAGGUAAUUAGUCGUUUAUUAAUCGUUGUCUCUAAUUUCUUUGAAAUAGAGGUCUACAUCACUUUUGAUCUAAGUUCUUGAAUUGACUUUAUUAGUAUCAUAAUUAGUUUUAGUCUGCUAAUUCUGAAUACUAAGAUAGCUCAAGUUCUUAGCACUUCAUUUUGAAAUUUGAGAAUUUUAUUCUUGAAUUUUACAUAUCUUUUAAUUCCUAUGUUUAAUCUUUGUUUCACUUUUACAUUUUUUUCCUUGUUUAUUCAAGUAACCCCAUUUUUAUAAUUGAACCCUAGGGUUUCUCUAUAAAUGGGUUCCACAAUUCCUGAUUAACACUCAAUACUUACAAUUUUACAUAAGCUUAAACUAUAAAGCUUUUUGUUCUCAAGUUUACUUGAGCUACUUUGUUCCUAAGCAACAACACAAGCUCAUAAUCUAGAUUCUAAAUUAAACUAUUUAUUAUUGUUCUUGCACUCAUUUAUCGUUCCAUUGUUGUCAUCUAUUUUAUAAUAAGGUCAAUUUUAUCCGUAUGCCUUUAAACCACCCUUAGAAAUUUAAUUAUACCAUUUUACGCUAAACAACAUCAUACAAAAUGAAAAAAGAAGAACUAAAAGGCACAACACAUACAUGCAUGAACUAAAAGGCACAAUAUAUACAUGCAUGACAACAUUAAUUCUUUUUUCCUAAAAGUAAAAGUUGAAUAGCCGGAAACUAUACGGAAAGUAUAAUUAGCUACAGUUAUUCACGUAUGAAAAAUGGUGAAAAGAAUUAAUUAAUAUGAGUGAAAAUUCACUUGAGGGAAAAAUAUUACCUUGACACGGCCAUCACCGGAGCUGAUAGCAAAGAAGUUCAAAGAGGGACUGAAACAAGUCAAGAUGUCCCUAAUAGUUGAUGUUCCCAUUGCUGAAAUGAAGCUUAGGUUAAGAACUUUGGCUUGUGGUGGCGUGUUGGACGGUGGAAAACGGGGGUGGCCGCUGAAAAGAAAAAUAACAAAGUUUUAUACUUGCGUACUGAAAUAAUGUGGCUUCAAAUUUUUAUACUUAUAUUUUGGUUUGUGUGUGUGGUUGGGGGAGGGCCGGAGGGGGUUGUGCUUUAUUUAUGUACCUAACUCUUAUUUAGUCAUCGAUUUCAAAGUUGAAAUUUGAGUUUUUCAAAUUGAGGUUUUAUGAAUGGAAGUUUCAAAAAUUCUAACACUGUUUUGACCUAAUUUUUGGGAACUUGAAAAUAUUUGAAGAACAAAUUUUCAAAAUCUGAUCAAAUUUCACGAUCAAACAUAUAUUUGAAAAUGAAUUUUCAAAACUUACUCCAAAAAUUUUGUUAGAAAUUUUACGGAAAUACUAUGUCAUGGGAUAGAAGGGGUGAUCUUAUUUAUGUUGAGACCAAGAACAUGGAGAUAGCUACAAAUAUGGAGGCAGAGGUGAGAGAAGUCUGGGAAGCUCUACAAUUUUGCAUCAGGAAAAAUAUGAAUCAUGUUCAUCUAGGAUCUGAUUCCAUAGUAUUGAAAAACAUGAUCACUAGGAGUUGGAAAAUACCUUGUGAGUUAGCAGAAAUGAUAGAGGAAAUACAUGACAUGGUGGGGAAAAUCAGAGUACAGGUUUCACAUAAUUUUAGAGAAGCAAAUCAAUUGGCAGACUACAUAGCAAAUUCAGUAAUAAAUAAAGAAGAAAUAAAGACAUUUCAGAAUUUCAUUCAGUUACCAAGUUUGGGAAGAAGGAUUCUUAACAUAGAUAAACAACAAAUCCCUUCAGUUCACAUCAAGAAAAGGAUAAUUAACACUAACAACAAUGGACAUCAUGCUUAGUUACAGAUCAGAAGACACAUUGUUCCAAAACUAUGAUAUGUACAGGUUAGAUAUUAGCUAUGUUGGGAGUAAAAAAGAUGUUAAGGAACCUAUCAUAUUUCUAAGCUAUGACAACCAGCAAAAAGGGACAUAGGGACCAGCAAAAAAAAAAGAGUAUAGAGGCCAAAUCUGAUUUCAAAACAAGCUUCCAGCAAAAAGAUAGCGAGGGAGCUACAAGAUCUUUUUCUAUUUUGCUUCACCUGCAAAAUAAAGAGAAUCAAAAUAGGAAUAGAAGAAACAGGGAAGAUGGUAAUAGCAAGUCACUUACACAGAUUUGCAUGGAGGAAGCACAAAGGCACAUACUCUCUUUCAAUUUCUUCACGAACUCAGGCUUUCUAACCAGAAAACACACCUACAGAGAAAACAUUGUCAGUUGCGAAGAAGGAGCAAGAACUCAACAUGGAAAGAACGAGGCAUACCUUUGAGAGAUGAUAUUUCUAGCAUCCAUCAUAAGUCGAACAUGAAGGAUGUUUAUCACCCAAAGAAGGAGGAACAUCAAGUCGGAGCAAGGGGACAAUGACAAACAUUGGGAUAGAGGCGAGCUGAGAAAGAGGAGAGGAAGAGAAAGAAAGGAGAAAAGGAUAGCUCAUUUAGAAAACCCUAGUAUUAGGGUAGUGCCUUUAUCCACUUGGUUUUGCCAAUUUGGGCCGAUCAGGUUGAACCUUUUAUUAAUGAUGUUUGGCCCAGUUAUUUAAUUAAUAAGAUGGAUCUUGAGUCCAAAUUUAAAUUUUUUUUUAAAUAUCCUCAACACUUGAGGCAUGUAAAAGAUACUAUCUUUAAAGAUAUUUCAUCUGAUUGUAUCCUUGUAUUCAACAAGCUCUUCUUACAUAUACAAAAGUUAAAAUCUAACAAAAAAUCAAGUAGGAAAAAGAAAAUUCAGCAUACUAGAAUAUAUGAGGAAUUAAUAUGUUAAUAUCUUCUCUUUUUCUCCCCAAAGAGAAAAUACAAUAAGAAUAUAUAGGUGUGAAAAAACUCAAAAUGAUCACAACGGGAGUAAAUGAGAUAGGUAAUUAUGGGAAAAUAUUACAAAUAUCAAUUGCAACAUUAAUAUUUGAAUCAGAAGUAAUGACCAAUCUUUAAUGGAUAAAUAUAAAGAUUAGCUAUUAAGGCUAUAAAUGGUCUUUUCAAAUGUAGUAAUAGAAAAAAAAAUUAUUUUGAGAUACUCCUAUUAAAUAACAUUUGUAAAACAUUUAUGGUCAAAUACUAACUUAAAUUGAAAAAUAAAAGUGCAAUCCCUACUCAAGCUUCUUUAACCUUUUCCCUUCAUCAUCUCAUUUCCCACCUUUAAUUACUUCUUAUGAUUGAGUUUAAUUAGAUAAUGUUUGAUCCUUAUAUAAGUUUGAUUUAAUAAAAAUAUAAAUAUUAUCAGAUAUUGAACUUUAAAAAAUAAGAGAAUCCAAAGUAAAUUUAUUAUUUUUGAGAUUUAGAUUUUAUUUCACUAUUAAAAGUGAUGAAAUUGCAAUUAAAAAUUAUGUAUCAAAAUUAUAUUCAAAAUUUAAACUUUACUUGGAUCAAUUUUAAAAUAAAAAUAUAUUAUUGAUUUUUUUACAUAAUAUAUUAUCGUGAUUAUCAUAAUUUGGAUUAUCAAGAUUUUAAUAGUAAAUAUUUGAAAAAACUAGUGUGAUUCUCCAAGCAUAUACUGAAAAUUUUGAAAGAAUUAUAGUAUAUAUUUGAAAAAAUUUAUGUGACCUUCAAGUAUUUAAUUGAAAAUACUUGAAGAAUCAACUAUAACUUAUUGUUAAAGCACAGACACUCACAUUUAUUUUAAGUUUUUGCCAAAAAUCAUCCUUAAACUAUACCUCAAAACUUUAAACUAUAUCCUUAAAGUAGUAUUCCUAGCAGAAAACAUUUCAUUCAAGUAUUUAAAAGUGAACAAUUUUCAUCCUUCUACUUGAAUUUAUCAUAAAACUAACAAAUCCCACAAAAAUCAAAUCAUCUCUUCGUAAUUAUUAUUCUUAGAUACGCAAAAAAUUCUAGUGUGAACUUUUUCGGUGAUUGAGUUUAGCAUUAUGCAAAAUCUUUUAAUUUGACAAUUUUUUCCAUUUAUUUUUCAUGUAAUUUGAUAUUAAAUAUAUUAUUAGUUGAAAUAUGUUUCUUCUCAAUUGAAUAUGCUAGAAGCGGCAUUUGUUGGAGACUUCCGCUUCUAAUCAUGUAGAAUGAAACUCAUAUGCGAGACAUAAUCAUAAUUUGAUCAUUUCAAUAUCAGAUUGGCCCAAAAAUUUAUUAUCUAAAUACAGUUUGGCUAUGAAAAAGGUAAAGAUAAGUAAGCUCCAAUUUCUUUCCAUUACUAAAUGAGAAAAGGAGAAAAUCAUGUAUCCUCACCUUCCAAACAUAUUUUUUGUUUCUGUAAGCAAUAAUAACUAAGAUUCUUAAUAUAUUUUUUUCAGGAACUUCUUAUAGGAAGUGAUGAAAUUAUGCAGGAAAACUUUUGUUGAUAGUCAUGUGAACUGGUCAUGUUUUUGUUGGAUCCCUUAGUUUUUUAACUAUAUCUAACAGAAGCAGGAAAAUUGUUCACUUUUACAUACUUGAAAGAUGUUUUAUGCUAAGAAUGAUAUCUUAAAGAUGUAGUUUAAGUUUUAGGUAUAGUUUAAGGAUGCUUUUGGCCAAAAACUCCAUUAUUUUCAUCUCCAAUUUUAAUGUUGUAACAGCAGGGUGAUCCAUUGAAAGGAAACAGCAUGUUGAUUUCUUUUUGCUACCAUCUAACUUCCAAAUUGCUACAUGUCGAUCACUAACAGAAGAAGAAAGAAAAUGUCCCCCAUCUUCAGAGAAAAUCAUACAAAAAUAGAACAGAAGAUGUAUACCAAACCUAUGUUGUUUUGACUCUUAAAAAUGUCGACAGGUGCAUGUUAGAUCCUCCAAAAGUAUAGUGCAUCUUUGGAGGAUCCUACACAGGUGUGGCAACUCUUUGGAGAGUCCAAGAAACAUAGUGACACUCACAGGCUGGUAUUGCUUUAGUGGAAGCUUUAAACUUGUGCAGUAAAUUCCCAGUCAUGGAAUCAAUUUUGCAAACCAGAACAUAAGCACCAGCCGUUUAAAUGAAUGACACAUGUGAAGGGAAUGAGAUGGCAUUGACACCACUGCUCAUAAGCGUAGAAUUUCAAUCAAUGCAGGGGAGAUAUGCCAUAUCAUAAUCUUAAUAUAUGAUAAUAUUUAGAUAAAUAUAGAAAAAUUCAACUUUGAGCUGUGAGAACGAUAAAUAUAGAAAGACUAGAGAAAAGCUUCAAGAUGGAGACAGUACAAGAUCUGUGAUCUACAAGUCAUUACUACUUCUGCUUCACUUUUACAAGUUCAGGAUUCCCAGAAACUAGAGUUCCAGCAUAAAGCCAUAUAUUAAGGAAGUCACAACAAAAGCAGUAAGCAACUAAUGACAAUAGAAAAACAAGAGUGAAACAUUGGAAAAUUUUACAAAAUUUCAUAAAAAAUCUCCCUUCUUGAAAGUUGGACACAUGUGCUAGACAUCAAACUCCAAACCUCUCUUCUGGGUAACUCUACGCAUUAAACUUAGGAAGAUGGGAAAAAAUCACAUAGUUUAUCCUAAUUGGCUCCCAUACAUGAGAUAUAAAUUCAUUCAGAUUAGUUAUGGCCAUCAUCACUUAACAAUAUAGGUCAUAGGUGAGAGGCUAAUCUGGGUAGACAGUUAAAGGCUCGGGAGACCAUGAUUAUAAUAUCAACCUUAUGAGUCAAUGAAAUUAUAGAAAUUCGCAUAGCAAUUGCAUAUACAUAUGAAGAGAUUACGUGUCACGCCCCAAGCCUACACCCUGGGCGAGACUGACACUCGAGAACCAUUGUUGGCCCCAAGCGAACCCUUGACCAUACUCAGCAGAAGACUUUACUCAACAAAGAAAACUUCAUGAAAUAAACUAAAAUGUUGUAAAGAAACAUUCAACUAGCCCAUAAGGCAACUCAAGUCUCAACAUAAACGGAAUGAAAAUGAAAAAACUAAUGAACUAUAACUAUAUGUGUAUGAAGCAUCUAAUACUAUGAGGGAUGUCGGGACAAGAUCCCCGAUCAUCCUAACAACUGAAAUGAUAAAGCAAUAUAAAAAGGAAUCCUCUAGAAAGCAAGGAGGCUCACCAAAUGACUCUGAAAUGUUCGACUGGAUCAACGAAGUGCUCGAUGAUGAUCCUGGUUACAUGUAUCUGUAUCAUAAAACGAUACAGGCCAAAUGGCAUCAGUACAUUGAAUGUACGAGCAUGCGAGAGGAAUUCUAAACAAAAUGUAAGCUUGAACUGGAAUAUGAAAGAAAUACUUACCUCAACUUUACUCAACUCAUGAAUACUCAACUCAAUGCAGAAAUAAAACAACAAUAAAGAUGCAGUUUAUAUAAAGCAUUUAAAAUAGUAGAUAACAUCUCGAAGUAUUGGAAAAUACAAUAAUAUCUCUGUUUACGAGAUUCUCUAACCGGCAACCAUCACUAUGAGCUAUGUGAUGAUACAACGUCUCGUCCACGCUGCCAGAACUGUCCUAUAACUUUCUGAGAUAUAGAGUCGAUCCACUAAGCUAUGCUUAAAAGCAUUAAGGAAUCAUCUAAAAAGUAUGAUCCUUUCUAUCCAUGUUGGCUACAUGGACGUUUAUGGAGACUUGAGUUAUUAUGAACUCGUCCCCAUAUCGGUGCUCAGUACUACUCCAAAAAUAUACUCAGCUCAUAUGUUAAAAACAUAACUCUUUCUCUGUGGUUUGAGAUUAUUACUCAAAAACUAGCUCAAAAGUUCUCUUGGAAAUCGGUGUUUCCUCUCUUGUUUAAAUGUGAAAACAUUUACUCUUUGGGAAUACAUAGCUCCCAUAUAAUCUUUUAAAGAAAAUAAACUUCACUCUUACACUUACUCAACUCAAUGCUCAAGUCUUAAAACAGGUUUAAAACACUUGUAAAAGUCUUUUGAAAAGACUCUAAGAACUAUUUAAACUUAGAUUUUAACUUUCCUUGAAUUUGAAUUUAUGGAUUCAAGGUUAUGAUUCAUAUUUAUGGAUGAUUUCUAGAUGUUUAGAAGUCAUUUAGAGUAGUUAGAAUCGAUAGGAUGUGUGAGUACACUUUAGAAGGACUCAGACGGCUAAACAACAAAAAACGGGUGGGGGCAGGAGACUCUGGCGCACAAUUGGCCAAUGCUAUGAGAGCGCCCACUAGGGUCGUGAGAUCUGAUGAGCCCUCUCGAGUUAUUAUUUCAAAACAAGCCUCAGUUUCAACUACACACUCGGCACACCAGUCACAUAAUACCUCUACUCAUGUGGCUCCACAAUCUGGUUAUACUAUAUCUACACCCACUGUGGUACCUCGUUCGGGUUACCAAACAUUGCAGGGCUAUUCACAUCUUGGUCGUUGGUCUACCAUACCAUCAACUAGUGCUAGUCAGUGCAAUAGUUUGAAUACUAGUAGAGGAUCAAUUGGACUUUCCAAUCUUCAUCUCGAAUCCAAUGGCUCAGAGCCUAAUGCUCCCACCACCCAGCACUCAGAUGCACAUGGUCCUCAGCCAGGAGAUAGAGACAAUUUUCGGAGACUCGUCAUCGAGCCAUUAGGAUACAAGUAUGAUUUAAUUAUGUUUCAUCUUUCAUUUAUCUAUUUAUAUUUUAAUUGAUUGAUUAUUUUUUGUUUACUCUACUUUUUCAAUGAACUCGUAUUUCAGCUUACGUCCGGAUGUGGGUAUGGCAAAGAAUAUUUUAAAGUGCAUCGGAACUCAUUAUAAUGGUGUGUAUCCGAAUUGGAGUUCGAUUCCACUUUAACACCCAAGGGUAGAUGUUCAACGAAUUUAAGGUAAGAAUAUAUAUAAAUUAAAUUUACAUCAUAUUCAUUUAAAUUCUCUAGUCAUUUGAACAAUAAAUAUUUAGUUAUUUUUUAUUACAGAAAUAUUAUGCAUGGGCUCCCGAACACGAGGAUGACGUUCAAGUGAACUUUAAGCUUAAAGCUUCAAAGUUGCUUUCUAGCACAUUUUGUGACUAUCGGAGAGAAAACAGAAUUCCUAAGUUUAUGUUACCGGAUUGAUGGGCUCUGUUAUUGAAACAUUGGAGUACUGAUGAAAAAUUUAAAAAGAGGAGUGAGAUUGGGAAGAUGUCUCGUGCAUCAGAAAAGGGAGGCUCUUUGGAGGCUCUUUGCACAUUGGUGGAGCUAUUAGCCAAGUUACUAGGAAGGAAAGAAUGGUAUACUUUCUUAAUUUAGUAAAAUAAUUUUUUCUUUUUGUAUAAGUAUUUUUGGUAGAUUAAUGAGAUCAAAUUCUAUAUAUGUUAUUUGCAGGAAAAUAAUUGGUAGGCCGGUAGCUGUAGCAGAGAUGUUCAAGGUUACUCACGUCAAGAAGAGUAUGAACCCCACAGAAGAAUAAAGAUGGCUUGAGCCACGUGCUCAAGAGACAUAUGUAAGAACUCCAUUCAAACUAAUCUUUUUUUCUUUUCCUUGUAUAUAUUACAUUCUUAUUCGUAGAGUUCUUUGUUUNNNNNNNNNNNNNNNNNNNNNNNNNNNNNNNNNNNNNNNNNNNNNNNNNNNNNNNNNNNNNNNNNNNNNNNNNNNNNNNNNNNNNNNNNNNNNNNNNNNNNNNNNNNNNNNNNNNNNNNNNNNNNNNNNNNNNNNNNNNNNNNNNNNNNNNNNNNNNNNNNNNNNNNNNNNNNNNNNNNNNNNNNNNNNNNNNNNNNNNNNNNNNNNNNNNNNNNNNNNNNNNNNNNNNNNNNNNNNNNNNNNNNNNNNNNNNNNNNNNNNNNNNNNNNNNNNNNNNNNNNNNNNNNNNNNNNNNNNNNNNNNNNNNNNNNNNNNNNNNAUGUCAAAUAUGGAGGAGGAGAUUGCGGCAGCAAAGGAGGUAGAGAACAACAGGUAUGCAACGCUUCAGGUCCAACUAACUUUUCUUUUUGAAUCAGGAAAUAUUCUUCCUCCAUGUCCGGCCAGCAGUGAUGGAUCUGAUCAGGAGGGUGAUGAGAAUGAUAAGUCUGAUAAGGAAAGUGAGGGUGAUGGGAAUGGUAAGUUUGAUAAGGAGAGUGAGGGUGAUGAGGAGUAGUUCUAUCUAUUUGACAUUUUAGACUUCUAUAUUUUUGGAAUUGUUUAAUUUGAUCGUAUUUUAGUUUAUUUUGAAGUUGGAUGAAGUUUAUUUUGAAAUAGUUUAAUGUAUAUGUUGAAAUUAUUGUAUUGUUUUGGUUGGAUGAAGUUUAUUUGGCUUUGGGUUGUUUUGGUAUAAAUAUGCAGGUGGGUAACUAAAAAUUGCAGUAAUUUGCUGCCUGUUUUGUAGCAAACAACCGACCUCCGGAGGUCAGAAUUUCAAAAAUACAAAAAUAAAAAUACCGACCUCCGGAGGUCGGAAUUUCAACAUUACAAAAAUAAAAAUACCGACCUCCGGAGGUCGGAAUUUCAACAUUACAAAAAUAAAAAUACCGACCUCCGGAGGUCGGAAUUUCAACAUUACAAAAAUAAAAAUACCGACCUCCGGAGGUCGGAAUUUCAACAUUACAAAAAUAAAAAUACCGACCUCCGGAGGUCGGAAUAAAAAUAAAAAUACCGACCUCCUGAGGUCGGAAUUUCAACAUUACAAAAAUAAAAAUACCGACCUCCUGAGGUCGGAAUUUCAACAUUACAAAAAUAAAAAUACCGACCUCCUGAGGUCAUAAUCUCAAAAAUAAGAAUACCAACAUCCGGAGGUCAGAAUCUCAAAAAUACAAAAAUAAAAAUAUCGACAUCCAGAGGUCGGAAUUUAAAAAUUAAGAAGUCACAAAUACCGACAUUCGGAUGUCGGUAUUCCAUGAGAAAUAAAUAUUCUGACCUCAGGAAGUCGGAAAUAAUAAUAUAUAAAACUGAACUCAAGAAGUCGGAAAAUAAAAUAAUGAAUUUUCCGACAUAAAAUAAAAACUGACCUCGAGAGGUCAGUAAAUACCGACCUACAGAGGUCGGUAUUGAAUAGCGACCAAGCUUUUUUCCGAUCUAAGCUGGGAUGUCGGUUUUAGAUCGGUAUUUCAGGGAAUAUCGACCUCCGGAGGUCGGUAUUUGUAGGUCGGUAUUCACUGUUUUUUUAGUAGUGUUUGUUUUAGCAUUGUUUUUGGGCUAAACCAAUUUUGGCUUGGUCUUUUACUUGUUUGUACAAACUUGAUUAAUUCGAAAUAAAGGAGCUCGAGCUCAGAUAUUUAGUUUUUUUUUAAAUCUUAUAACAUGUACAAACAAGUAAAAGACCAAGCAAAAAUUGGUUUAGCCCUAAAACAACGCUAAAACGAAAAUCCCAGCCCACUAAGUGAGGCUAUCAACUUCUCUAACAUGUUUCUUUAAAAGUAGGGUUUCCAAUUUGAGCUCCUUAUCUUUCUCUCCAUGUCGCCACAAGGAGCCUUGUGGAAUCUAACCUUCCUCUUCCACUCUCUUUAGGUCAUCAACACCUUCCUCUUGUUUGCCACAUCUUUUUCUUAGCUACUAAAGGUAGGUUUUCAGUUUAUUCUUUUCAAUUUUCUAAUUUUCCUUUUCUCCUUGUAGAGACAUUAUCCGAUGGAUCAAUGGUUACAUGAACUGAUUUCAAUAGAGGUGCCUCGUCUUGUGGUGGGCUCGCAACUCUCAGUAAGUCUCCUACCUUUUCCUCUUUCUUCCUUCCCCCUUUUCUUCCUCUCUGACUCUCUAUUUCCAGCUGAAGUAGCAGUGUAGUAACUUCUAUGAUAUAGAGAGUCGAUUCUUCCAAAUUAGUUAGGUUAUUCCUCUUCUAUAUGAUUGGGAAAGUUUUCAAUUAUUCUCUUACUUAGAUUUCUAAUGAUUCAAUAUAAUGCUCAUUUAAGUAUCGCAAACUAUGGGUAAAGAAAGAAGCAGUUGAAUUCAUUGUUGUUGAAUAAAGAAAAGACAAAGGAUAUUUGGAGGAAAGCUAAGGAAUAACUAGUUAUGCUUUUAAAUUUUUUAUUUAGAAGACAUUUUUACUAAAGUUAUGAUCAUAUUAAGGCUAACAUUGAAACAUUAUUGACUGACGUUGUAGUCCUGGCAUGACUAUACUUUAGACAUAUAGUAAUUAUACAUCAAAUAUUUAAUUACUUGUCAAGGUCAACUUUCAUACAUAUUUUACUAGAUUUGUGACAUUGCCAAAGCCAGAAGAUUAGGCAUAUAAUAGCUUCAUAUCUGGUGUGAAAUCGGACAUAUACAUGACAUACAAAAUUACAAAUGAUUUGCAUAAAUAAGACUUUUUGAUGUCAUAGUUUAAAGUUGGCUUCAUAUUUCAGGCUUUAUACUGUUUUCUCAAUGAGAUCUCUACUAUAUUCUUCCUCAUAUCCUUGGGAGAAGAUACUUUGUUCAUAACCUAGCCUAACCCCAAGGAAAGAUAAGUUAGACCUUCGUACUCUUAAAUGUGUCUUUCUUGGUUACUCUAGAGUUCAAAAAGGGUAAUGUUUCUAUUUACCAUAUCUGCGUCGAUACCUUAUGUAGGCCGAUGUCACAUUCUUUGAAUCACAACCUUAUUAUACAUCUUGUAAUCAUCUUGAUGUAUCUGAGGUCUUACUCCUACCUCUCAGGUCUUACAUGUACCAACUUUUGAGGAACCUACAGUUACUUGUACAUCUCUACUUGUAGUGCCAUCACUCUUGGCUUAUCAUCGCCAUCCGCAUCUAGCACCAUUCUCCGGUGAAUUAUGCCAUGCGUCAAACAAUGUUGCUACUACGGACUUGCCUCCUCCUAGCCAACCGAUUGCAUUUCAAAAAGGUAUACAAUCCACUCGAAAUACUAACCCAUAUUAUACUUACUUGAAUUAUCAUCAUUUAUCAUCACCCCACUAUGCCUUUGUAUCAUUUGUCCUCUAUUAUUAUCCCUAAGACUAUGGGUGAAAUACUUUCUCAUUUUUAAGGGAGGUACACUAUGAUUGAUUCCAUGUAUGCUUUACAUACGUGUGGUACUUGAGAGCUAGUCUCACUUCCUGUAGGUAAAUCUAAUGUUGGUUGUCGUUGAAUUUAUGCAGUCAAAAAUGGUUUAGUUAGUUAGGUUUAUAAGGCUCACCUUGUUGCCAAAGGGUAUACUCAGUGUAAUACCCAAUUUUAACUCGAGGUUCAAACAGUGUACAACAUAUAGUGAUUCUUAAUGUUAUUUUAAAGAGUCGCCACCUAAUUAUGUGAAAAGUAAAUUAUGAUACCUAUUUUACUAAGGUUAUGUAAUAUUAACUCUACAUUAAGGUCUACCUAACCUUAUACGAUUCUAGGUAAGGGUUCUAAUUUAUCCUAAAGGGAGACAUCCUUUAAGAUCCGUAAAACACAGUUAACCGGUCAAACUGAGGUUAAUUAAUUAAACUAAAAAAUAAUGCUAAAGAAUUUGCAAAAAAACCAUGAGUGGAAAACAUUUUAACAUUUGAAAAACUAUUUUAUAUUUGGAUAGAAUUGACUUGCAUUUUUCUUUUUUGAAAACAAUAGAUAAUCACUUGUUUAAAACGACAAUUAUUUGUACAAAAUUUGGUACGAAAAUGCAUACUAAAACAAAGGUUUCAGUAUAUGAAGUUAAUUCGCAUGUCUUAAAAUUUGUUUGCACCUUGAAACACAUUCUACAUUUGAAAAUUGAUUGAAAUAGAAUGACAAAAACUUGAAAAGAAGAAAAUAAAAAGUCAUUUGCUUAAAAAAAAAUUAUUAGUCUCUAAAGUCAUGGCUAUAAAAACACAAUACAAAAUCUAAUUUAUGACCCCAAAAAAACGCUUCUUUAAAAAAAAUCAAAUUGAGCUUAAAUAAAUGCUAGAUUUCUUUCAAAAAAGGAAAAGCUCACAUAUGAUAGAUAGUUUAUCGAUAAUUAGGUUGUGGGUAACUAAGUAAUUAGAUUUAAACGUGAUCAGUUUUCCUAUGUCGACUAUCUCGAAUGAAAAAAAAAACUAAAAACACAUCUAAAUCACAUAAGUAAGUUCAUCAUGUUAAGAAAAAUCAAUAAAAACAAAUAAAUGCUAAAGAUAUAAAUAGAUAUAGGCGACUCCAAGUGAGUUUCACUCGUUUAGCUGGCUAUUCCGGAUAGUCAAAGAUAUAGACUCCAUAUGCGGGUAUUAUGGUAGCGAGUCCAUGAGACUGUAUUUUGGCCAGAGUCCUCAAUUCGGACUCCAUUUUUGCUCCAAAGUUCAUGCAAGUAAAGAGAUGGUAAAGAGAUUAGUAAGACAAUUCAACUUUAAUCGAUAUUGAAUAAGUCAAGAAUAGAGCCAAAUAAAGUCACGCCACAAAAUACAUUCCGAGAUACAAAUUAAACUGCAAGGAUCAGACAAGAUACAUGACGAUUUUUGAACCAAACUCGAAGCAGCCAAGUAUGAAGCAACCAUACGUGCCUUAUAGACACAACAUUAAAUUCCAACUUCAACAGAUUUGAACUAUAAAGAAAACUUACUUCUCACACCAUGAUCCUUUAACAUUAACUUUUUUUUACAUAGCCAAAUAUUAAAUAUUCAGGAUG